AUUGAACGCUGGCGGCAGGCCUAACACAUGCAAGUCGAGCGGAUGAAGGGAGCUUGCUCCUGGAUUCAGCGGCGGACGGGUGAGUAAUGCCUAGGAAUCUGCCUUGUAGUGGGGGAUAACGUCCGGAAACGGGCGCUAAUACCGCAUACGUCCUGAGGGAGAAAGUGGGGGAUCUUCGGACCUCACGGUAUCAGAUGAGCCUAGGUCGGAUUAGCUAGUUGGUGGGGUAAAGGCCUACCAAGGCGACGAUCCGUAACUGGUCUGAGAGGAUGAUCAGACACACUGGAACUGAGACACGGUCCAGACUCCUACGGGAGGCAGCAGUGGGGAAUAUUGGACAAUGGGCGAAAGCCUGAUCCAGCCAUGCCGCGUGUGUGAAGAAGGUCUUCGGAUUGUAAAGCACUUUAAGUUGGGAGGAAGGGCAGUAAGUUAAUACCUUGCUGUUUUGACGUUACCAACAGAAUAAGCACCGGCUAACUUCGUG
rnacentral:rRNA from 1 species